rnacentral:rRNA from 1 species
GCGGCCACUGCUAUCAAGUUCCGACUAAGCCAUGCGAGUCAAGGUAUCGUAAGAUGCCGGCAAACUGCUCAGUAACACGUGGAUAAUCUAACCUUGAGUAAGGGAUAACUUCGGGAAACUGAAGGUAAUACCUUAUAAUUGCUUAAAACUGGAAUGUUUUUGCAAUAAAAGUUACGACGCUCAAGGAUGAGUCUGCGACCUAUCAGGUAGUAGGUGGUGUAAUGGACCACCUAGCCUCAGACGGGUACGGGCCCUGGGAGGGGUAGCCCGGAGAUGGACUCUGAGACAUAAGUCCAGGCCCUACGGGGCGCAGCAGGCGCGAACACUGUGCAAUGCGCGAAAGCGCGACACGGGGAGCUUGAGUGUCUUGGCAUAGCCAAGACUUUUCUCAUUCCUAAAAAGCAUGAGGAAUAAGUGCUGGGUAAGACGGGUGCCAGCCGCCGCGGUAACACCCGCAGCACGAGUAGUGGUCACUUUUAUUGAGCCUAAAGCGUUCGUAGCCGGUUUUGUAAAUCUUCAGAUAAAGCCUGAAGCUUAACUCCAGAAAGUCUAAAGAGACUGCAAGACUUGAGAUCGGGUGAGGUUAAACGUACUUUCAGGGUAGGGGUAAAAUCCUGUAAUCCCGGAAGGACGACCAGUGGCGAAAGCGUUUAACUAGAACGAAUCUGACGGUAAGGAACGAAGGCUAGGGUAGCAAACCGGAUUAGAUACCCGGGUAGUCCUAGCUGUAAACAUUGCCCAUUUGAUGUUGCUUUUCCGUUGAGGGAAGGCAGUGUCGGAGCGAAGGUGUUAAAUGGGCCGCUUGGGAAGUAUGGUCGCAAGACUGAAACUUAA